UCAGCCGGAGGUAGGGUCC
rnacentral:snRNA from 1 species